AUGUCAAACCAGAGUCAGUCACCCUUAAACCGUCCACCCGUACGCGUGUCAGAUCAGGUUCCAAAAAUCCAACUCUUUCUUUUUCCUCUCUCUAUAUAUUGGUCGCAUCUCUCCUCGGACUUUAAAUAUUUCCCAGACUCUCUCAACCCACCCAAGAAACGAAGUCUCUGGUCGAAUUCUUUAUCAGGAAGAAAUGGGUCGCUCAAGCCGCUCAAGCCGAACCAUUUAUGUGGGAAAUCUCCCCGGAGAUAUCCGUGAGAGUGAAGUGGAAGACUUGUUUUACAAGUAUGGUCGUAUUGUGGAUAUUGACUUGAAAAUUCCUCCUCGACCACCUGGUUAUGCAUUUGUGGAGU